GAUGAACGCUGGCGGCGUGCCUAAUACAUGCAAGUCGAGCGAACUGAUUAGAAGCUUGCUUCUAUGACGUUAGCGGCGGACGGGUGAGUAACACGUGGGCAACCUGCCUGUAAGACUGGGAUAACUUCGGGAAACCGAAGCUAAUACCGGAUAGGAUCUUCUCCUUCAUGGGAGAUGAUUGAAAGAUGGUUUCGGCUAUCACUUACAGAUGGGCCCGCGGUGCAUUAGCUAGUUGGUGAGGUAACGGCUCACCAAGGCAACGAUGCAUAGCCGACCUGAGAGGGUGAUCGGCCACACUGGGACUGAGACACGGCCCAGACUCCUACGGGAGGCAGCAGUAGGGAAUCUUCCGCAAUGGACGAAAGUCUGACGGAGCAACGCCGCGUGAGUGAUGAAGGCUUUCGGGUCGUAAAACUCUGUUGUUAGGGAAGAACAAGUACAAGAGUAACUGCUUGUGCCUUGACGGUACCUAACCAGAAAGCCACGGCUAACUACGUGCCAGCCGCCGCCGUAUAC
rnacentral:rRNA from 1 species